GAUGAACGCUGGCGGCGUGCCUAAUACAUGCAAGUCGAGCGAACAGACGAGGAGCUUGCUCCUCUGACGUUAGCGGCGGACGGGUGAGUAACACGUGGAUAACCUACCUAUAAGACUGGGAUAACUUCGGGAAACCGGAGCUAAUACCGGAUAAUAUAUUGAACCGCAUGGUUCAAUAGUGAAAGACGGUUUUGCUGUCACUUAUAGAUGGAUCCGCGCCGCAUUAGCUAGUUGGUAAGGUAACGGCUUACCAAGGCAACGAUGCGUAGCCGACCUGAGAGGGUGAUCGGCCACACUGGAACUGAGACAGGGUCCAGACUCCUACGGGAGGAAGCAGUAGGGAAUCUUACGCAAUGGGCGAAAGCCUGACGGAGCAACGCCGCGUGAGUGAUGAAGGUCUUCGGAUCGGAAAACUCUGUUAUUAGGGAAGAACAAAUGUGUAAGUAACUGUGCACGUCUUGACGGUACCUAAUCAGAAAGCCACGGCUAACUACGUG
rnacentral:rRNA from 1 species